rnacentral:rRNA from 1 species
AACGAACGCUGGCGGCAUGCCUAACACAUGCAAGUCGUACGAGACCUUCGGGUCUAGUGGCGCACGGGUGCGUAACGCGUGGGAACCUGCCCUUAGGUUCGGAAUAACUCCCCGAAAGGGGUGCUAAUACCGGAUAAUGUCUUCGGACCAAAGAUUUAUCGCCUUUGGAUGGGCCCGCGUUGGAUUAGCUAGUUGGUAGGGUAAAAGCCUACCAAGGCGACGAUCCAUAGCUGGUCUGAGAGGAUGAUCAGCCACACUGGGACUGAGACACGGCCCAGACUCCUACGGGAAGCAGCAGUGGGGAAUAUUGGACAAUGGGCGAAAGCCUGAUCCAGCAAUGCCGCGUGAGUGAUGAAGGCCUUAGGGUUGUAAAGCUCUUUUACCCGGGAUGAUAAUGACAGUACCGGGAGAAUAAGCUCCGGCUAACUCCGUG